rnacentral:rRNA from 1 species
UGAUCCUGGCUCAGAUUGAACGCUGGCGGCAUGCCUUACACAUGCAAGUCGAACGGCAGCACGGGAGCUUGCUCCUGGUGGCGAGUGGCGAACGGGUGAGUAAUACAUCGGAACGUACCCAGGAGUGGGGGAUAACGUAGCGAAAGUUACGCUAAUACCGCAUAUUCUGUGAGCAGGAAAGCGGGGGAUCGCAAGACCUCGCGCUCUUGGAGCGGCCGAUGUCGGAUUAGCUAGUUGGUGAGGUAAAAGCUCACCAAGGCGACGAUCCGUAGCAGGUCUGAGAGGAUGAUCUGCCACACUGGGACUGAGACACGGCCCAGACUCCUACGGGAGGCAGCAGUGGGGAAUUUUGGACAAUGGGGGCAACCCUGAUCCAGCCAUGCCGCGUGAGUGAAGAAGGCCUUCGGGUUGUAAAGCUCUUUCGGCGGGGAAGAAAUGGCAACGGCUAAU